rnacentral:lncRNA from 1 species
AUAUGUAUUAUCCUGCAUGCUUGUAUUGGUUAGAGUAAUCUAAAAAAAAAGAGUUAACUUUUGAUGGUUGAUUGAGUGUGAUGCAUGUAAUUAAAGUUUGAUAUUUAUGGGUUGUACCACGCGUUGGUUAUACUUGCAAGGUGGUGUGUGCAUGUUUUAUUUGUUUCAUAAACUAUUUCUGUAAUGUGGGUUGGUGAAGA